rnacentral:lncRNA from 1 species
UCUAACCUGGCUUGAAUGCCAGUGAGGCAGAAAUAAUACCUUUGCAAGGUUCCCCUGCAGAACCGGAAGAUAAAGCAAGAUGAAGUGAGUAUGAUGUUUCUAUUUGACCCUUAAUAUAUUUUGUACUGUAUAUAUAUAUCUGCCUCAAGAGAGAUUUGGCUUAACCAGUAUUUGUAUUAUGUGUGCACAGUAAUGACUAGUAUUAGUCCUUCUGCUGUAUUUAUUUGAAUAGAGAUGGGACGGGCGCAGGACUUUGGUUACACAUUUUUAAGUGCAAACUCAGAAUUUUCUCUAAUGUAUUGGCUGUUAGUUCUUGCCUCAUGAAACAUGCUGGGUAUUAAGAGUAUUAGCAGAGGGAAAAGAAAUGGAAUAUAGAUUUCGUAUUAAUGGUUUAAGUAUGUGGGGGGGAUACAUUUCUGUAAGUUUGGCCUCUCAGACGAGACUUGUCAUUUCAGAGCUUGGUGGUGUGCAUCCAGUGUGAGGAACCUGACAGUCUUAAAUGGGGAUGCUGCUGAACCUGCAUGCAGUUGUUUUAGGUGUGGAGGACAAACUCCUGCAUGCUGUCUGAAGAACAGCCAGUUUGGAACCCGGUGUAUGCUGCCAGCAGCUCUCAUUCCACAUCUAGCUGGAAGGUGAGCAAAAUGCUGGCAGGCUCUGGAGCUGAGUAAUGGUAAUGUCACUGAUUCUUCUCUUCAGUUAGGUGACACACCAGGCACUCGCAUUAGACUCUAAGAGCAUUUGACCAAAAGCCUCUCUCCAAUUUAAAUGUACCAAGUGGGGUCAGUUUGUCAUGCUCUUGGGUGAGCCGAUGCUGGAAAAAGAAACCAAGUGAAUUUUGAACUACUGCUUGUUAGUGAGCCCAGCUGCUCUUCUUGAGGAUCAGGGUUUGAUCCACUCAGCUGAUUGCGCCGCUGCCUGAAGUGGAGACAAAGUGAAUUCUUCUGGAAAAGAUGGUGAGUGUGACCAGGAUCAUUAACAGGUAACUUGCUGUAUGGAUAAGCUGUUAAUACAAUCACACUGAAAAUAAACUUUCCCUCAGUUUAGGGAUUUGUUUAAAU